CCGUACCCUAAACCGACACAGGUGGACUGGUAGAGUAUACCAAGGCGCUUGAGAGAACCACGUUAAAGGAACUCGGCAAAAUGCCUCCGUAAGUUCGCGAGAAGGAGGCCCCAUAUGUGCGCAAGCAUGUGUGGGGGGCACAAACUAGGGGGUGGCGACUGUUUACUUAAAACACAGGGCUGUGCGAAGCCGUAAGGCGACGUAUACAGUCUGACGCCUGCCCGGUGCUGGAAGAUUAAGAGGAGGGGUGCAAGCUCUGAAUUGAAGUCCCAGUAAACGGCGGCCGUAACAAUAACGGUCCUAAGGUAGCGAAAUUCCUUGUCGGGUAAGUUCCGACCUGCACGAAUGGCGUAACGAUCUCCCCGCUGUCUCUAACGUGGACUCAGCGAAAUUGAACUGUGUGUCAAGAUGCACACUACCCGCGGUUAGACGGAAAGACCCCAUGAACCUUUACUCCAGCUUUGCACUGGUAUCAGGAUUGUGAUGUGCAGGAUAGGUGGUAGGCAUUGAAGCGGGGACGCCAGUCUUCGUGGAGCCUCCCUUGAGAUACCACCCUUCGCCAUCUUGAUAUCUAACCGCGGCCCGUUAUCCGGGUCCGGGACCCUGCAUGGUGGGGAGUUUGACUGGGGCGGUCGCCUCCCAAACAGUAACGGAGGCGCGCGAUGGUUGGCUCAGACCGGUCGGAAAUCGGUCGUUGAGUGCAAUGGCAGAAGCCAGCCUGACUGCAAGACUGACAAGUCGAGCAGAGACGAAAGUCGGUCAUAGUGAUCCGGUGGUCCCAAGUGGGAGGGCCAUCGCUCAACGGAUAAAAGGUACUCUGGGGAUAACAGGCUGAUGAUGCCCAAGAGUCCAUAUCGACGGCAUCGUUUGGCACCUCGAUGUCGGCUCAUCUCAUCCUGGGGCUGGAGCAGGUCCCAAGGGUAUGGCUGUUCGCCAUUUAAAGAGGUACGUGAGCUGGGUUUAGAACGUCGUGAGACAGUUCGGUCCCUAUCUGCCGUGGGUGCAGGAGACUUGAGAAGAGUUGACCCUAGUACGAGAGGACCGGGUUGAACGAACCACUGGUGGACCAGUUGUCGUGCCAACGGCAGUGCUGGGUAGCUAUGUUCGGACAGGAUAACCGCUGAAGGCAUCUAAGCGGGAAGCCCCCUUCAAAACAAGGUCUCCCUUGAGGGCCGUGGAAGACGACCACGUCGAUAGGCCAGAGGUGUAAGCGCAGCAAUGCGUUCAGCUGACUGGUACUAAUUGCCC
rnacentral:rRNA from 1 species